CUUGGUCAAUAAAAAAGAAUUAGAUGCACACAUGGUCAGAAACAUGUUUUAGACAUAAUUAUGUAAAUAUUAUGCUCUCUCUAGCGGUAAAUGUUCAACAAUACCUGCGCACUCGAAAAAGGUGACUUGAACAAGUAGUGGAAAAGUUUCAUGAUUGAACAAUGACCACUUUUGAUCAACAUGGGGAAGAAAAUCUACAUCCUCAAUUGGCUUUCUAAGAACGUCUUCCAGCCGAUAUUUAUGGGCAAAAGCCUCGUAGAAGGGUACACCAUUGUCAUUGCAUUCAAU
rnacentral:lncRNA from 1 species